rnacentral:rRNA from 1 species
AGAGUUUGAUCCUGGCUCAGAUUGAACGCUGGCGGCAUGCCUUACACAUGCAAGUCGAACGGUAGCGGGCCUUCGGGUGCCGACGAGUGGCGAACGGGUGAGUAAUAUAUCGGAACGUACCUUUCAGUGGGGGAUAACGUAGCGAAAGUUACGCUAAUACCGCAUAUUCUGUGCGCAGGAAAGCAGGGGAUCGCAAGACCUUGCGCUGAUUGAGCGGCCGAUAUCAGAUUAGCUAGUUGGUGAGGUAAAGGCUCACCAAGGCGACGAUCUGUAGCGGGUCUGAGAGGAUGAUCCGCCACACUGGAACUGAGACACGGUCCAGACUCCUACGGGAGGCAGCAGUGGGGAAUUUUGGACAAUGGGGGCAACCCUGAUCCAGCCAUGCCGCGUGAGUGAAGAAGGCCUUCGGGUUGUAAAGCUCUUUCGGCCGGGAAGAAAUCGCAUGGGCUAAUACCCUGUGCGGAUGACGGUACCGGCAUAAGAAGCACCGGCUAACUACGUGCCAGCAGCCGCGGUAAUACGUAGGGUGCGAGCGUUAAUCGGAAUUACUGGGCGUAAAGCGUGCGCAGGCGGUUUUGUAAGACAGGCGUGAAAUCCCCGGGCUCAACCUGGGAACUGCGUUUGUGACUGCAAGGCUAGAGUACGGCAGAGGGGGGUGGAAUUCCACGUGUAGCAGUGAAAUGCGUAGAGAUGUGGAGGAACACCAAUGGCGAAGGCAGCCCCCUGGGUCGAUACUGACGCUCAUGCACGAAAGCGUGGGUAGCAAACAGGAUUAGAUACCCUGGUAGUCCACGCCCUAAACGAUGUCAACUAGGUGUUGGGUGGGUAAAACCAUUUAGUACCGGAGCUAACGCGUGAAGUUGACCGCCUGGGGAGUACGGCCGCAAGGUUAAAACUCAAAGGAAUUGACGG